CUCGCACUCAGUGUCACGCCGGCACGCCCCCUCUCUCCGUAAUCUCUCAUCGCUUCUAUUGUUCAAUUUAGCCAUCGCCGGUGGCGCUACCUCCAUCGGCUUGGAUCUAAAACUGGAGUCUUCUUGGUCCCAAUGACAUUGUUGGUGUCCUGACCCUUCGAUUUUCCUGAAAUUUCUUGCUUCGGGGCACAACAAUGCCAUUGGUAUCUGGAAUACUCUGCAGUUACCUUCUCUGGCAGUCCGGUGAACCUUUGUAAAUGUGUAAUGAACUAUAAAUUUUCUUUAGAGCAGUGUUGAAUGAAACAAGCAGCUUAUAUGAUUCUGAAUGAACCUAGGUUGACAUUUACGCUUGAAUGAAGUUUAUGAAGAUGUUCGUGGCUGAUUGUGUGUCAUCUCAACUGUAUUUUUGCUUGGAAGUCUAAUAAUCAAAAUGACAGAAUAUAAUGUCAUCAUAAAAUUCAUGUAGCCAACCUCAUUAUUGAGAUGUACUUGUAUUUAUAAUCAACAAGAUCAAAGACCCUUCACCGAUUGUUAUGUGACCAGACAUUGUAGGGAAUCUUUCAAAAACAUCCUAUCCUUCGUUCAAUCAAAAAUAUGUUGGUUAAA